GAGGGUAGAGCUCAGUGGUGGAGCGCGUGCUUAGCAUGCACGAGGCCCUGGGUUCAAUCCCCAGGACCGCUA
rnacentral:tRNA from 1 species